UGCAGAGAAUCGCACUUAGCCUGCAGGAAUCUUUCGGGGAGAAUGGUGCGCUUCAAACGGUCGGGGCUAUAGUGGCACUCGCGGCACGGCCAACAUUUCCUCUUUUGCCGUCACAGAGGGCUAGAUUUGUUCGCUAUGGUUACAUAAACAAUGCGCAAAAUAGGUGUCACACUGUGAAACGAAGAGUUCUAAAAAAACAUUGUGGAAUUACCUAGAAAAAUUCGACUGAAAAAUAUUGGCUUUUUUUCAUACAAAAUAUUGGCUUUUUUAUGGCAUACAGACGUCGAGGAUAAUCAGUGUCAGUUAUCAUUAAACAUGGUAGGCUGAUGGGACGGCCUUGUAGUGUUCCUAACCGAGAAGCAAUUCUGUUAAUUCAGAAAUAUAUGCAAUAUUUUAAUACCAACAAUUUUCCUUCGAGUUCUGCAAAAGUUUGGAAAGACAUGAGCAAAGAGCUCAAUGGAAGAUGGAAACCGCAUUCAGUUUAUACAUACGUAAGAGAUAAUAAAAAUGGAAGUCUCGAAGCAGCUCGUCAGAAUUUGGGUAUAAAUAUCCAACCUCCAAGACCACUACCAUCGAAGUCGACCAUCGAAGAUGAUAUCAUUGAUGAACUAUCAGAGGAUUCUGAAUCGGACAAAUCAUCUUAUCAUGAUGACGAGAAUGGAGAUUCUGACAUUGGUGUUGAUUCGUUCCCUCUAGUUCU